rnacentral:rRNA from 1 species
GUGAGGAAUAUUGGACAAUGGGCGCAAGCCUGAUCCAGCCAUGCCGCGUGCAGGGAGACGCAUCUAUGGUGUGUAAACUGCUUUUGUACGGGAAGAAACACUCCCUCGUGAGGGAGCUUGACGGUACCGUAAGAAUAAGGAUCGGCUAACUCCGUGCCAGCAGCCGCGGUAAUACGGAGGAUCCAAGCGUUAUCCGGAAUCAUUGGGUUUAAAUGGUCCGUAGGCGGUUUAAUAAGUCAGUGGUGAAAGCCCAUCGCUCAACGAUGGAACGGCCAUUGAUACUGUUAGACUUGAAUUACAAGGAAGUAACUAGAAUAUGUAGUGUAGCGGUGAAAUGCUUAGAUAUUACAUGGAAUACCAAUUGCGAAGGCAGGUUACUACUUGUGGAUUGACGCUGAUGGACGAAAGCGUGGGGAGCGAACAGGAUUAGAAACCCGGGUAGUCC